rnacentral:rRNA from 1 species
GGUUAAGCGACUAAGCGUACACGGUGGAUGCCCUGGCAGUCAGAGGCGAUGAAGGACGUGCUAAUCUGCGAUAAGCGUCGGUAAGGUGAUAUGAACCGUUAUAACCGGCGAUUUCCGAAUGGGGAAACCCAGUGUGUUUCGACACACUAUCAUUAACUGAAUCCAUAGGUUAAUGAGGCGAACCGGGGGAAC